rnacentral:lncRNA from 1 species
UAUAUGUGUGUGUAUAUAUGCUCAUGCAUAUGUACGCAAAUUUCUAUAUAUAUAUAUGUGUGUAUAUGUACAUAUGGACGGAUGUUUGUGCUUUGCGACAAAAUUUUAAUCGAUGCCACUGUAGGAGGAUAUACUCGACGCGAGUGGUCCGGGAAAAAGCGCGAGAAUCGCAUUCGAAUUGCCGACGACAAGCACUCGUCGUCGUAGUCGUCGUAGUCGUAGUCGUAGUCAUAGUCGUAGUCGUAGUCGUAGUCGUAGUCGUAGUCGUUGUAGUCGUCGUAGUCGUAGUCGUCAUUGGUUUGCUUUAUUGAUCGACCAAGAGAGAGAAUAUAAGCAUUUGGUUUGAUUAAUUGGAAAAUAAUACGAAAGUGUUGCGAUUGAUUUCGCAAGAAAUCGUUUUUCCGUAUAACCGAUUAGAAAAAGAGAGAGAGAGAGUUUUGUUUUCAUUUUUUUGGUAUUUAAAUGUUAGAUUUUUCCUAUAUUCGUUCACGAGCACGCGCCACUACCGUUUAUUCUAUUUGUACGAUACGUGUAAAUGUGCGUGUACGUGUGUGUGGAUAAUAUAUAUAUAUAUGUUAGAGAAGGAGUAUGCGCAUUAAGUAUACCUCGAAUAAGAAGAGGGUUUCGUUUUAUUACACUUCGAUCAACGUUGAGAGUAAACUCAAUUCGAUUACAUGCUUCGUAAAUGAUAAUAUAAUCUAUUUUAUAACUGACAUUAGAAAAUAAUGCCGUGACAUUUCGUAGCUUUGGUAAUAAAAAACAAAAAAGAAAAAGAGAGAGAGAGAGAGAGAGAGAAAGGAAAUAAAUAAAGGAUUGAAAACAAUUAGGCGUAUAUGUAGCUGUAGCUGUGGUGUUAUUGAUACUGCUGUUACUGCUGCUGCUGCUGCUACUGCUGCUGUUGCCGCUGUUGCUGUUGCUGCUGCUUUUUAAGGAUACCUAUACAAAGUUCUCGUUAAUUGAAGGUAAACCUUUAGAAGAGACUGGCUCAACUUUUCUUCUCAUUAUAUUUAUCGUCGCUUAAAUUUUCAUACCCGGACAUUUAAACACGGCGACCUGACUUUUAUCACAUUUAUCAGUACCAACCCUCUGUAUGAUAAAAUGUUAAAAGAGGGAAAAGAAAGAUGAUGGUAAAGAACGGGUGAUGAUACGUUUGCGCAUGCACCUGUUGUCGUAUUCUGCCUUUUGCUCUCUCUCUCUCUCUCUCUCUUGUGAAAUGGCGUUAAAAUAACACGCAGACGUAAAUAUACAUCUACAAAUAUAUACUUACGGAAAAUCCAAGGUACAUAGGAAACGACGAAAAACAGAGCAAUGCUUGCAGUCAAAGGAGUUGCGGUUGGCGACGGAUUCAAACGAGUCGCAGACGAGGAACAAAGUCAGCGGGUUAUCGAUGUUUCUCGGAUAUACGUAUGCGAGCAUCAUCAUCAAAACAUAUGUCAACGAAAGAGAGAAAGAGAGAUGUGGAAGACAAGAGAAAAAAAGCGCGUUGCACCGCGUGUGCGAUGCACUCUUUCCACGCUCUCGUGCACUCGCCUAUUCUCAUCAAUGUGCCCGCAAGAAAGAUUUCUACAGGUGUAUGCGUUUGCCCUCUCACUUGAUGCGGAUCAGAGAGUAAAAAAGAGAGAAAGAUAGAGAGAGAGAAAGAUAGA